rnacentral:lncRNA from 1 species
UCGUGGAGGUAGGAAUUUCAUCCACAUAGUCAUUUUUUUAUUCAUUCAUUCAUUCAUUCAUUCAUUCCUCAUCUUUACUGACCCUGUACAGUGAUGAGCUCAAGAUGACUAAGACCUAUUCUUUUUUUUUUUUUUUUUUUUUUUUUUGGUUUUUUUCAAGACAGAGUUUCUCUGUGUAGCCCUGGUUGUUCUGGAACUCACUCUGUAGACCAGGCUGACCUCAAACUCAGAAAUCUGCCUGCCUCUGCCUCCCAAGUGCUGGGAUUAAAGGCGUGCGCCACCACCACCACCACCACUGCCUGGCUAAGACCUAUUCUUCCAGGCUGUGCGGUGGUGGUGGUGGUCUCACAUAUUUAAUCCCAGCACUCCGGAGGCAGAGGCAAAACCGCUUUGAGUUUGAGGCUAGCCUGGUCUACAGAGUCCAGUUUCUCUGUGUAGCCCUGUCUGUCUGUCCUGGGGAAACCCUGUCCUGAAAAACCAGACAGAUGAUAGAUAGAUAGAUAGAUAGAUAGAUAGAUAGAUAGAUAGAUAGAUAGAUAGAUAGAUAGAUAUUCUUCCUUUGAAUAUAACUCCUUGCCUGGCACCUCCAUGGGGGUCUCCCUGGACUUGGGGGGCUUCAGUAUCACUGACAGGAAAAGUAUCUUUUUAGCUCUUCACAAGAUGUGGAGAGCCCCUUUCCUACGACUGAGUCCUAUAAAUCUGGGUGGGAUGGGUCACUGGAGUGGUGACAUGGGUCUUAGAAGUUGCCCUGAGCUCUGUAGAUUCUAGUUACUCCUCAGUAGGCUAGAGGAGGGUUUGCACAGUGAUAUCUGUGGCCCAGGAAAUGCUGGGGACAGCCUGCUCCAACCACCCAGGAAACAGACUGGACUGCUUCCUCCAGACGGCACACCAUGGGCUGCAGUGGGUGCCCUAAUUGUUGGUUCCUGUCUACAUUUAGUCUCAGGGCCACUCUCCUCUCUCUGCACCUUCAGAGUACAGCUCCUCAGAGCUGCAAAGAUGCUCUGGGGUUAAGAGGACCUGGUUUUGAUUCCCAUCACCCACAUGGCAGCUCCCAACUGUCUGUAGCUCCAGUCCCAGGGAAUCUAACACUUCUCAGGGCACCGAGAAUAUACAUGGUGCACAGACAUACGUGUAAGGCAAACACCCAGACUCCUGGAAAUUAGAUUACAUUCAAAAAUAAAGGUCUAGACCCUCCACAGACUUGACCCAUGCUUUCUGAUGACCUCUGCCUACUUCAGUUCCUCUGGCUGUGUAUCACACCCUCCAGGAGACAGCUGUGAAACCUCAACUCCUUUCCAGCACCCUGGCCCCACUCCUCCUCCUUCACCUUCCCGGCAUGCUCUGCUCCACACUCCACUGCCAGACCUUUGCUCACUGUACCUUCUACCAAGUAGGUCCUUCCUUCCCUUGGCCUAACCGGCUCCUGAGCUUUCCUUUAAGACUCUAGUAUCUUCAGGAUACCUAGGAGUGAAAACAACCGCCAGAACCUUAGAACAGCGAAGGGCCGUGCCUCUUGGAUUUCCCAGGAAGCUCGUCAAAGAGUUGUAUCCAGGAUGGUUGCGUUGGUUUUUUCAUUGCUGUAACAAACACCUGACACAAAGAAAGGAAAAUUACUUUGGUCAGCAGUUUCAGGGGACCAACCUGUGGUCGCACAGUCUAGUUGCGUUGAACCUGACGCAAGGUCAAAAGUCAUACGGAGGAUGUGAUUAAAAACCACUACCUUCUCGGCAGCUGGAAAAGCCGAGAGAAGAGGGCCAGGACCAGGUGCAACUUCCUUCAGCAAGACUCCACUUCUAAUAGGUUAUCAAUAGGGUGAAUUCAGCAAGAAUCAAUCCGUGGGUUAGGUUUGAGACCUCAGUGUCUUAGCAACUCCCCACAGCCCAUAAGACUAUAACACAUGGAGCCUUGUGGGACACUUUAGGUUCAAGCUAUAUAGUUUCUACAAGGAGACUCUAAACAAGGUUUCUCUGACCCCCAAGGGGUGUUUGAAAGAGGGUCAUUGGUGUGGUCUCAUGUAGACUGAGGCAGGGGGGGUAGGUGUGGUCUAACUUGUUUCCUUUCUUCCUCAAUCCUCUGGACUUAUUAAUGGGGAAGAAUCCUUGAGACCAGAAUUAAUUAAAAGACUCUGCUCUCUCCUUUUGACACAUGAGAAAAAGAACAGUCCACCUUGUAGGGUAUUGCAUGAGAGUCGAACACAAGUCACAUGAUGGAUGUCUGAGAUAUACAUCCUAUGCUCUUGGUAUCCUAAGCUAUUGCUGUUUUUAUUACUAAU